AGUGAACGCUGGCGGUAGGCCUAACACAUGCAAGUCGAACGGCAGCACAGUAAGAGCUUGCUCUUACGGGUGGCGAGUGGCGGACGGGUGAGGAAUACAUCGGAAUCUACUUUUUCGUGGGGGAUAACGUGGGAAACUUACGCUAAUACCGCAUACGACCUACGGGUGAAAGCAGGGGAUCCUCGGAACUUGCGCGGUUGAAUGAGCCGAUGUCGGAUUAGCUAGUUGGCGGGGUAAAGGCCCACCAAGGCGACGAGCCGUAGCUGGUCUGAGAGGAUGAUCAGCCACACUGGAACUGAGACACGGUCCAGACUCCUACGGGAGGCAGCAGUGGGGAAUAUUGGACAAUGGGCGCAAGCCUGAUCCAGCCAUACCGCGUGGGUGAAGAAGGCCUUCGGGUUGUAAAGCCCUUUUGUUGGGAAAGAAAAGCAGCAGGUUAAUACCCCGCUGUUCUGACGGUACCCAAAGAAUAAGCACCGGCUAACUUCGUG
rnacentral:rRNA from 1 species